rnacentral:misc_RNA from 1 species
GUGAAUCAUCAAAUUUUUGAACGCAAAUUGCACUCUCUUCGGAGAGUAUGCCUGUUUGAGGGUCAGCCUAAAAAAAAAAUCGACAUAGUCGCUGUUUCGUGGUGACAUUCGUUGGAAAUUGGGUUAUCUUAAAUCUUUGGGAUUUAAGCGGAUUAAAAUUUUCUUUACGUUUGUACGAACGUUUCUAAGAUCUUCUUCUUAUCGGUUUAAGGUAU